rnacentral:Y_RNA from 1 species
AGCUAGUCCAAGUGCAGUGGUGUUUACAACUAAUUGAUCACAACCAGUUACAGAUUCCUUUGUUCCUCCUCCACUUACACUGCUUCACUUGACUAAUAA